GAUUUCAGAGAUUGGAUGUCCACAGCAGCGGAAAUACGGUACUACAGGAAUUGCAACUUGACUUUAUGGGUUCCUGGUUGUGAACCUGGUUGCAAAUAAUUUCAUCUCAUACCAUAUUUGCAUAAAGUUUGUUCCUCAAAUCAAUCAAGAUGGAAGCCAGCCAAGGUACGAAGAAAAGUAGAGGUGAUGAUCAAAUAAACAUCAACUUUCAUGAGGAGUACUUAAGAGCACUUAAGACAAAAUCAUAUGCUGAUUGCUUCAACAAAGCUCAAUUACUUGCAACACAAUCUUCCAUAAAUUAUAGCCACAAAACCUUCUUAGAA